GGUGCGACAAGCUUAAUAGGGAAUCCGGUGUGAAUCCGGAGCUGACGCGCAGCGGUAUGGAGGCAUAAGGUCGACAGGUCUGGUGUUAUGCCAGACAGACACUGUCCAGCAGGAUGGGAAGUCGUUGACCCAGGUGGUUGCCUCCAAGCCCGAAGACCUGCCAGAUGC
rnacentral:ncRNA from 1 species